rnacentral:lncRNA from 1 species
AGUUACAAGCCAAAAAAUAAUACAGACCAAACCAACGUGGCCCAACUUGUUUUAACAUAAAUUACCCAAACAUUUAUCCCUGGCCCAAAGCACAACGCAGCCCAAAAUGUAAAACAGUAGAUCAGAAAACCCUAGGUAGCACCCAGCUCCCAGCGCCGCAAUCAGCCCCUGGCCUCGCAUGCGCGCCACUGCCACUCUCGUGCCCCCGUACAUCUCCAGCUGGACUCCUCCGUACCCGUACCUGCAAGAAAGACACAGCAAACGCAACGGACGGAAAAAUAGCACAAAAAUUGAGCGAAAAAUGGUAAUAGCGGAGAGAAAAAGAAAAACUAAAUAGGGGUUUUGGUAUUUCCUUUUGGCUAUAACAAAGCCAUUACAAAAAUCUUGUAAAGGGGUGGGGGGGAAGAAAAAAACAACACACAUAUUGUAUCAGAAAAAUCAAUACAAAAAAUCAAAAGAGGUGAUUUUUUUGAAUCGCUCUCUUGCUUCUUCCGUUUUCUUUUUCCUUUUUUCUUUUUCGGUUUUCUUUUCGGUUUUGGUUUUGAUUCAUUUUUGAAUAAAAGAAUAAAGAACAAAGAUUAAAAGGGAGGGAAGUUACCUUGUGGUCGGGUCCUUGCCCUCUCCGUCGUCAUCGGAGUGUUGGCUAGGUCCGAAGAGUCCUUGAAUGGACGAUACACAGAGUGGCGCAUGCAGGAGGAGAUGGUUUAGGUUUUUUAGUUUGAUUUGU